rnacentral:misc_RNA from 1 species
GUGAAUCAUCAAAUUUUUGAACGCAAAUUGCACUCCUCAGUAUUCUGGGGAGUAUGCUUGGUUGAGGGUCAUCAAAAUAACAUUCGUGAAUUUUUUCGCGGAUUUGAGUUUUCCAGUAUUUAUGAAUGUUGGUUACUUUAAAAUUAUUUUUAUUACUUGGUACAAGUUGAAAACGUACUAUACGUGUGUGGUUCGCUGACAACUUGUUCAUCAUCAUAUAUUAUGCGCGCACUUGAUUUUUUUACAUCUUGUGCGAGUAUAUAUUUUUUUUUGACCUCAGCUCAAGCAAGAAAACCCG